GGAAAGAGGCGCUCAUCCUGCCUGCACGCGAUGCUGCCGUACUCGCUUAUUUCUUAUCUUCAUGAUAAGUGGUGCUGCCUCCUGUUUUCUGCUAAUGUAUGUGCGGAGGCGCCUCUCCCGCGCUCUCUCUCAACGUCUUCUUCUCCAUCUUCACGUGGUGCGUGCGUGCGCGCGCUUGCCUGUGCGUGUGCCACUGCGAAUACGACCAGAUGAUAAAGGUGUGCUACGGCCGCCACUCAUGCUUAUCCUUACUGCUGCUGCCUCCAACCCUUCCCCCUCCCAACCAUCCGCAUGAAGACCCCUCCUUCACCGCGUGCUCAUGCCUCACCAAAACGGCAGCGUUUUCUUGGUUUUCGUAUUAUGCUAAGAUAGAGGGCGGGGAAGGGGAUCAGAAGUGUAAAGUGCAGCGCCUGCCAUACAGCAGCGAAACGAGCGCUGCCGAGUGGCCUGCGCUUUACGUCCCCCGCCUAGUGUUGGAAAUCCGUCUCCGUGGACUCUGGUCUUCAUGGCUGCCUGCAACAACGCUCCGUCCAACGCUGCGUGCCGCAUGACAGCAACCCCUCAAAACGUGAAUGUUACUAAGAAGGGGCAGCGGACGAGGGUCGAAAGAUGCCGGGGCGUCGUCGCGAGAUUUUUCAAGACGUGGUCCGACCUUUCGUGAGGCAUCUCACUGCCGAUGUGUCGCGCUGCUUAGAUUCUUCACUGUCCCUCUCCCCCUCCCCCUUUGGCGCAGUGGCAAGUGAGGUGAGCGCAGCUAUCCCUCCGUAUGGGAAGCGCCUUUCCCCCUUUCCCUUUCCCUCCCCCCUGCAUGAGGCGUGAAACAGCCCAGUGUCAGGUCGGCACUUGAUCGACAGGCAUGCACGCGCAAACUUGUGCUGUCAUCUCUUCUACUCUUCUAUCCCCUCUGUUGCUCGCCGCCCUCUCUGCAACCAUCAUUUCUCCAGCCCCCCCCCCCCCCCCCCCGCCCCAG
rnacentral:misc_RNA from 1 species